UUCUCCCUCUCUCUUUUCUUUCUUUCUUCUUUUUCUUUAUUUUCUCUCUUUCUCUUCUCUCACCACCAUGGCCAAACCUUACUACCUUCUCCAUUGAAACACCAUUUCUCUUCAUAAAACUAAGUAUUUUAGAGAAUAAGAUCCUUAGUAUAGGAUUUGAAGUUUAUUUCUCAAGAUAAAGCUUUUAAGUAGGGAGAUACCUCCAAAUCUAAUGAAAAGAAAAGAGUCAACCUUGAUUUUGUGGAUUUCCAGCUUUUAAAUCAAGUCAGUACUUGCUACGUUGUAUUAUAGCAAUGGCAGCCUUAGGCUGCUGCCCAUAGUUGAGCAAAUGGCUAGAUGAUGCACGCCUUUUUCACUUAUUCUGGCUGAGACUUUUAUUUAGUUGGGAGAGCAUGCUCGAGACUCUGGCUCGAUGCUUGGUCCUAUGGGGAGCCCGCCUCUAUUGCAGUUGUGGGCCUUUAAGAAGCUGUAAGUGAUGGAUCCACCAUCGGACCAUUUGAUGUUCAAUUAUAAACCGCGAGUCUAUAUUCCACGCCACCGUUGUUUGACUGGUGAAACUGUUGAAGACUAGAUUGCUAUCUUUCAUUAUUCUUCCUAUAUGCUCUGCGUGCCUCUGUGUGUACUAACCAUGGUAGUGGCUUAUUAUCCCUACCGUGUAGAUAGGCAGUACGGUCAUCAUCAAGCUGUCCCUGAUUACACUCGGUUCGAAGGUGGCCUUAUUAUACAACAAUUUCUAUCUCACUUUAUUUUCACUUGGCUUAGUCGCACUAUUGUACCCAUUUCUCAUGUGGCUAACAUCUCUUCUUCAGACUUGUACCGCUUGUGGUUGCAGGGUUAUUCUGGAGUCAGUGCUAAUUUAGAGUCAGCUGAUCUGUUGAUUGCUAGAUUUCUGCUAGGACCUGGCAUGUAGAUGCUCCUAUCAUGCUUUCUAAUGAAAUGUGCUAGAUAAUUAUUGACAAUGCAAUUAUAUGAUUGUAUGCACUUAUUAUGAAUGAAAUGUCUUUUGCUUGCAAA